rnacentral:lncRNA from 1 species
CCACGUUUUCAAAAUUUUCUGGAAAUAAAAACUCGGCAUGGAGUCAGGUAAUAGAUAUACAUAUCUUUAGUCCCAGUACUCAGGAGGAUCUCUGAAUUCAAGGCCACUCUACCUUCCACCUCUGAAAAAAAGAAAUACCCCCCCCCUGUGUGUGUGUGUGUNNNNNUGUGUGUGUGUGUGUGUGUCUUAUGGUGGUGUGGUGGUGGUGGGAUGCUGAGGACCAAUCACAGGACUCUAUGAGUACAGCAGCAAUUACUCUGAGACACAUUCAUAUUUCCAGAUCACUCUUAUGUUUUUACAGUGAUUCAAGUAAGAAGAUGCUGACACGGCAACGUUCAGAUGAAAUAUGCCCCCUGCCUAAGGACAGAGAACAGCUUGAAAGACUAGGGAACAUGGUCGAUGAAUAUGAAGGCUAAGUCAACUGCUAUAACGAGGUCUGUGCAUAUAAAGAGAGUGGUGAGCAACACAAAGGUGGUGAAAGGCAGGCACUGCCUCAGCUCUCCACAUGAAUUAGAGCUGAAUUAGAGCUCAAUGGUGCUGUAGGAACUGAGCCCAGAAUGGCAUACCACCAACAACACCAACAAGAAAAUUGUCAAAGACUUCCAUAACACUUCUUCAGGAUAAAUUCAUGCAUUCUAUUUUCCUUUGUACAGAAAAUGGUCUGUCCCUUUGGAAAGUCUUGCCACUUAAUUUAGCAGUUGAAGCCUUCUGGAUUAGGCUGUGCUUUCAUAUGGUAUAUUAUUAUUAUUUCUACAUGAUCAAAAUUAAUUAUAAUUAUCAUCUGAACUGCAUUGCAGUUUGGCUGUAAAAAUCAAAAUGGGUUAUACAUAGUGUCCUGAUUAGUUUUAUGUCAACUUGACAUAAGCUAAAAUCAUUUGGGAGGCAGGACCCUUAAUUAAGAAAAUGCUUCCAUAAGAUCCAGCUGUACACAAGCCAGCAGGGCAUUUUCUUAAUUGUUGAUUGAUGGAGGAGAGCCCAGGCUAUUGUAUAUGGGGCUAUUCUUGGGCUGGUGGUCCUGAUUUCUGUAAGAAAGCAGGAUGAGCAUGCCACGAGGAAUAAGUCAGUACAUAUCAAUCUUCUAUGGCCUGUGCAUCAGCUCCUGUUUAAGUUUGUCCCCUUCGAGUUCCUGUUCUGGUUUCCUUCAGUAAUAAAC